rnacentral:rRNA from 1 species
AUACAGAGGGUGCGAGCGUUAAUCGGAAUUACUGGGCGUAAAGCGCGCGUAGGCGGCUUAUUAAGUCAGAUGUGAAAUCCCCGGGCUCAACCUGGGAACUGCAUCUGAUACUGGUAAGCUAGAGUUUGGGAGAGGGAAGUAGAAUUUCAGGUGUAGCGGUGAAAUGCAUAGAGAUCUGAAGGAAUACCAGUGGCGAAGGCGACUUCCUGGCCUAAAACUGACGCUGAGGUGCGAAAGCGUGGGUAGCAAACGGGAUUAGAAACCCCAGUAGUCC